rnacentral:pre_miRNA from 1 species
GAUUUCAACUGAAAAAGUCAUCAACAACAAAGUUGUAUAACUCAUCAUGAUCUAUAACUUUUAUUUUGGCCAUUUCUUCAUUCAAUAAAUUGAUAGUAAUAUUGUUCACAAAAUUUACAUAUCUCUCAUUUGGUUUUAUAAACAAUAAAAGAGAUGUAAAUUUUGUGAACAAUGUUACUAUCACUUUGUCGGAUGAAGAAAUGAUCGAAAUAAAAGUUGUAUGUAUUGAUGAGUUCUACAACUUUUAUGUUCAUGACUUUUUCAGCUGAAUUU